AGUGAACGCUGGCGGUAGGCCUAACACAUGCAAGUCGAACGGCAGCACAGUAAGAGCUUGCUCUUACGGGUGGCGAGUGGCGGACGGGUGAGGAAUACAUCGGAAUCUACUUUUUCGUGGGGGAUAACGUAGGGAAACUUACGCUAAUACCGCAUACGACCUACGGGUGAAGGCAGGGGAUCUUCGGACCUUGCGCGAUUGAAUGAGCCGAUGUCGGAUUAGCUAGUUGGCGGGGUAAAGGCCCACCAAGGCGACGAUCCGUAGCUGGUCUGAGAGGAUGAUCAGCCACACUGGAACUGAGACACGGUCCAGACUCCUACGGGAGGCAGCAGUGGGGAAUAUUGGACAAUGGGCGCAAGCCUGAUCCAGCCAUACCGCGUGGGUGAAGAAGGCCUUCGGGUUGUAAAGCCCUUUUGUUGGGAAAGAAAAGCAGCAGGUUAAUACCCCGCUGUUCUGACGGUACCCAAAGAAUAAGCACCGGCUAACCUCGUC
rnacentral:rRNA from 1 species